CGGAGUGUGGAGAGGAUGAGCUCGCGAGGGGCGGGACGGGUUCCAAUCCGUCGUGGAAGGGCGGAGGCGACGGAGGGCGACUUCCCCGUACGUGCUCGGUCCGUCCCGACGAGCGAACGCAUCGGAGAGUCGGGCCGCUUGAGAGUGCAGCCCGAAGUGGGUGAUACGGACCACCCCGAAGGCUAAGUACUCCUUGCUGACCGAUAGCGAACCAGUACCGUGAGGGAAAGGUGAAAAGCACCCCGACGAGGGGAGUGAAACAGUACCUGAAACCGGACGCCUACAAGCAGUCGGAGGGGCCUUGAGCCCUGACGGCGUACCUUUUGUAUAAUGGGUCAACGACUUGGUCUUACGAGCGAGCUUAAGCCGAUAGGUGUAGGCGCAGCGAAAGCGAGUCUUAAAAGGGCGCAUGAGUUCGUGGGAUCAGACCCGAAACCAGGUGAUCUAGCCAUGAGCAGGAUGAAGGUUGGGUAACACCAACUGGAGGUCCGAACCAACACCCGUUGAAAAGGGUCUGGAUGACUUGUGGCUAGGGGUGAAAGGCU
rnacentral:rRNA from 1 species